UCAAGAAACUUAAAGGAAUUGACGGGGGCCCGCACAAGCGGUGGAGCAUGUGGUUUAAUUCGAUGAUACGCGAGGAACCUUACCUGGGCUCAAAUGUAUGUUGACGUAUUCUGAAAGGGAUACUUCUUCGGACAAUAUACAAGGUGCUGCAUGGUUGUCGUCAGCUCGUGCCGUGAGGUGUCGGGUUAAGUCCCAUAACGAGCGCAACCCCUAUCAUUAGUUGCCAUCAGGUCAAGCUGGGGACUCUAAUGAAACUGCCUACGCAAGUAGUGAGGAAGGCGGGGAUGACGUCAAAUCAGCACGGCCCUUACGUCCAGGGCUACACACGUGCUACAAUGGCCGAUACAGAGGGCAGCUACCUGGUGACAGGAUGCAAAUCUCCAAAGUCGGUCUCAGUUCGGAUCGGAGUCUGCAACUCGACUCCGUGAAGCUGGAUUCGCUAGUAAUCGCGCAUCAGCCACGGCGCGGUGAAUACGUUCCCGGGCCUU
rnacentral:rRNA from 1 species